AUACUGUUCUAGAGCACACCCUUAAAAGGCUUUUUCUUUUACCUGUUGUUUGUUGAGAGGUGAGGGUUUCAGAGAGGUGACAUUUGCUAUAUGGCUGAAGUAGAAGAUACUUCAUACAAGAGUAAUCUCUCUCUUUAAUAUGCUUGCUUUACUCGUAGCCCAAUGCAUUGUCUGAAGUUCUUGCCCACUUGGGUAUAAUAUUUAGCAGAUAUCUACGUGGCUACUCUUCUUCCUGCUUUCAGGCCUCUGACUAUAUAAUAUUAAAUUAUUAUUAAAAUUGGCAAAGUUGGUCACUCACAUGAGGGGUCUUGUGCAGACCUACCCUAUUUCUAAUAAGCUUUAUGGUAUUUUUCUGUAUUUAUAUAUUUCAAAGUUAAGGCAAUGUUCUUUAAAUGCUUACAGACUUCAUAUUCCAAGGAAAAAGGAAAUUCUGGUAAGCUCUUUAUUUACUUAACAAACAUUUAUUGAGCACCUGCUAUGUGCAAGAUGCUGUCCUAGAUUGUGGUAUUCCUGAGUUAAGAUGCACAGGAAUCUCAAAGAAUUUAUAGGUAAUAUAAAGAAGAAGUACAGUCCUCCCUAAAUUUUCUUUCCUUUUUGUCUUUUCCCUUAAACAAAACAAAACCCCCAAACCAAAAACAAAAAACCACAAAACCAAAAAAUGAAAUUUCCAAACACUUAUUAAAAAUUAGUCCGGUAGAGGGCAGCACACACACGUUCACAUACUUCCACUAGCACCCUUGCACCCCCAAUAAAUCUAGCUAAGUAGGUAGAACAAAGUGGAAGUUUUUUGUACAGUGCCCAGACAUGGUAGGUAGACGAUUAAUGCUUAGGGGAAAAAACAGAACCAAACAGAGUAGCAAGGGAGAAAGCAUUUACAAACAGGCAAACGUGCUUUAAAAACAAUGAAUAUUCUAAAAGAUAACAAAGAACACCCUAAUUUAUUCCUCAUGCCUUAGUAAUUGUUUCAAAAACAGAGUGUACACAGAAUGCAGUAAAAAUCCACUUAGAGUGAAAACGCUGUAUAAUUCAGCUCUAUUACCAUAUUACUGUGUGUGAUUUGUUUUCUCUGAACCCUGAUACAGCUAUGAAAAUGAGAAAAUCAAGUGUAACACUUUUUCAUCAGUGAAAAUAGAGAUAGAUGGGACCUAAUUAUUAAAACUGUCAUGUACCUUAGUCACCCACAUGCUUAGAUAAAUUGUCCAGUUCUUCAGCACAUUCUAACCAUGAAAGAGAGCAAGAGAUAAGCACUAACUCAUUAACACUGUACGAAAUUGUUCAGUUUAUUAAUAAAAGACUAAUAACAGAGCCUCAUGGGUACAGAAGGGAGAUUUAUAACUAGCAUUUGCCAGGGAAAAUGUAUACAUAUACUGUUCCUAAAUUGAAAGCAAAAGUUUUUUCUUCUUGCAAUAACCCUAUAUACAGAGGUCUGUAUAUUAGGUUGUAAUUACAGUCUUCAAACCAGAGAAUUGGUAAAUUAGCACAUCUAAUGAAAUCAAUACAUUUCCAGGCACAAAGAACCUUUGUGAGCUCUGAAAGGAAACCUCUUUAGCAUGGCAUGACUGCCUUUUGUUUCCAUGGAGUGCUGAUUCAUUACCUCUAAGUAGUUGACUAAUGAUUGAACAUCUAUUACUGAAAGAGUAAGUAAGGUACAAUAUCAACAAGUUUACUCAUUCCUACUUAAAGAGAAAAAAAACCAACAACCUUUUAUUUGAGAGUAAUAAAGUUUCUUUGGCAACAUCAGUAGCAGAAAUAGCUUCUCCUUUCUCUUUUUGAGAUGAGUGCAAUAGAGGUGAAUAAAUAAAAAUUAGAAAAACCAAAAUGGCAAAAAAUUUAAAAAGUGAGAAACAUAAAGCAUUUUCAGGAACCCUGGGUCGCAUAAGACAUUUUAUCUUCCCUUCUGCUAAGGUUACAGCCCAUCAAAUUUUCACCCUGAUAUUACGGUGUUUUAAUACUGUAUUGGGUGUCAGAGUAAACAUUUGUCAUGCUUUCAGGUCAAUUUAGAAAAAAAAAUCAAUAUUUUAAAAGAGUAUAUGUCAAAAUGCCCCUACCCCUUUUACCACUCUGAACUUUUUUAAGCUUUAAAAAGUUGUCUUCAAUUUCUUGCUUCUAAAAUCUAAGUGCUUUUUCCUCCCUAUUUCAUCAAUUCUUGAAAAUGAAAAAAAAAAUUGAACUAUUCAAUCUAACUUUGUUGAUAAAAGAGAGAAAAUGGGUUCCCAUAGCUUCUCUCUGGUCAUGACAAUUUCCUGAGGCAUAAUUCUUGCAAAUGUAUGCAUUUUUGCUGCAGGUUCCAGCUGAGAGGCAGCAAUAAAGGGGGAGCCCAAGUUUGGCCAGGAGGAUAACUUAGCAACUAAACUCCCUUCUAUGCUGGGGAGAAAAUAGCUUAAAAGUGUAGUACCAAUAGCACUUUUGCUUAAUAGACUUUGUAAAAUGGUAGAAUUUACUUUUAUUUCCUGAAAUAUUUUUUUAAAUUUUUUACUAAAGUAUAGCUGAUUUACAAUGUUGUGCUAAUUUCUGCUGUACAGCAAAAUGACCCAGUCAUUCAUAUAUAUUUUUUUAAAUAUUAUUUUCCAUCAUGGACUAUUCCAGGAGUUUAGAUAUGGUUCCCUGUGCUAUACAGUAGGACCUUGCUGUUUAACUCCUCUCUAAAUGUAAUAGCACUAAGCCCAAACUCCCAAUCCAUCCCACUCCCUCCCCACCUCCUUGGCAACCACAAGUCUGUUCUCCAUGUCUGUGAGUCUGUUUCUGUUCUGUAGAUAGAUUCAUUUGUAUAUUUUAUUUAUUUAUUUAUUGUUAUUAUUUUUGUCUUUUUAGGGCUGCACCACAGCAUAUGGAAGUUUCCAGGCUUGGGGUUGAAUCAGAGCUGCAGCUGCUGGCCUACGCCAUAGCAAGAGCAAUGCCAGAUCCUUAGCCCAGUGAGCGGAGCCAGGGUUCGAACCUGCAUCCUCAUGGAUACUAGUCAGGUUCAUUACCACUGAGCCACAAUGGGAACUCUCUCAUUUGUAUAUUUUAGAUUUGACAUAUAAAUCAUGAGUUGGAAAUGUUCUUACUUGUGCUGGAACUUUGGAAAAGUUCAGUGCAUUGCCCUGAGACUUACAAAUUUUAUAUUUGCCACUGAUCUUCCACAGUUAUAAGCUGGUCAGCUCUAAUGGUCUGCAUAUUCAUGAUUCUCAAGUUGUAUCAAUUCUCACAGGAAGCAUAGAUCAGUUCUCAAGUCACCUACCCUCCUCCUGCUUUCAGAUAGUGAAAGUAAAUGUUUGAGUAGCACUUCGCAGUACACAAAGUGUGUAGUGUAUUAUAGCUCCCAUAAGGCACAGAAGUUCUGUAAGGUAGAUCUAAUGUAAUACUAUCCUUGUGGAACAGUGAACUAUAAGACAUUUACACCACAAACAAAUCAACCUUGACUCUGCCAGUCAAUAGGCAUGGAAUUAUGUCACCUUAUGCUUCUAACUGGCAGCUUUUUGCGUAUGAUUUUUAUUCUCUUCUACUGAUUUGUAAAACCUUCCAGUGAUCAUAUCAUAUACUUUUGAAUCAUCUUCAGCUCUGGUACAAUAUUAAGAAAAUGUAAAUUGUUCAAUAAAUUAUUGAAAGAAUAAAAAAUAGUGAAUGAAUGCAUGAACAAAGCAUGACUCACUAAACAAGAAGCUGUUAACAUUUAACCUGAGAACUAUAAAGUCAGAGCUUUUGAGUGUUAAGAAAUAUGGCUUCAGGAGUUCCCCCUAUAGCUCAGUGAGUUAAGAACCUGACAUUGUGUCCGUGAGGAGGCAGGUUCAAUCCCUGGCCUUGCUCAGAGAGUUAAGGAUCUGGCAUUGCCACAAACUGCAGUGUAGGUCACAGAUGCAGCUUGGAUCUGGUAUUGCUGUGGCUGUGGUGAAGGCUGGCAGCUGCAGCUCCAAUUCGACCCUUAGCUCAGAAUUUCCUUAUGCCACAGGUUGGCCAUAAAAGAAAAAAAAAAAUGUGGUUUCAGGUCUGAAUCCCUGCCUAUUCAAUUUUUGGCCUUAAUCACUUUCAAAAUAUGAAGUAGGGAUAGAGCACAACUGAUAACAUUUUUUUUUUCUUUUCUGCAGAGAAACUCUACCUCAAGGUCAAGAUACAUUAAGCCAUUUGCCCCACCCUCCAUAAAGUCCUCCUUGCCUAAGCCUUAAGAUCUUCCCUUCCUCUGAAUUUCUAUAGCAUUUACAGUUAAAUCAACACUCAUUCAUUGCUUAGCUCUUUUACAAAUUUUUUGACAACCUUGUCACUGUUUUAAAGUCUUCUAUACUUUUUGGAUUGGCUAGUAUUUGGCAUAGCAGCAGAGUCACAUGAUGGGCAUGCAUUAAAUGUUUUUAUUUAGAUAUUGGUUUUAUUUACUCAUGCAUUCAACAAAUAUCAUCAAACACCUACUCUACCAGGGAAAGUUCUGAGCAUAGAGAUACAGCAGGAAACAAAACAAAGCCACUGCCAUAUAUCCAUAAAACUAUAACUCAAAAAGAUACAUGUGCCCCCAUGUUUAUAGCAGCACUAGUCACAACAGUCAAGAAAUGAAAACAAUCUAAAUGUCCAUUGACAGAUGAGUAGAUAAAGAUGUGUUACAUAAACACAAUGGAACACUAUUCAGCCAUUAAAAAAAUGGAGUAAUGUCAUUUGCCCCAACAUAGAUGGACCUAGAAAUUAUCAUACUAAGUAAAGGAAGUCAGACAGAGAAAGACAAAUAACAUAUGAUAUUGCUCAUAUUUGGAAUCUAAAACAUGUCGCAAAUGAAACCAUCCACAAAAACAGAUUCACAGACAUAGAGAACACAUUUGUGGUUGCCAAGGAGUGUUUUGAUUGGGAGAGAUAUGGAGUAGAAGGUUGUGGUUAGCAGAUGCAAGUUAUUAUAUGUAGGACAGAUAAACAAGUUCCUACUACAUAGUACAGGGAGCUAUAUUCAAUAUCCUAUGAUAAACCAUAAUCGAUAAGCAAUAUUAUAAGAAGGAAUAUAUAUAUGUGUGUAACUGAAUCACUUUGCUGUAUAGCAGAAAUUAACACAACAUUUAAAUCAACUAUGUUUCGCUAAAAAAGGAAACCACUGAUAAAACAAAGCAAAACAAACAAAAAACAGAAACACAGCCAUUGCUUUCAAGAAGUUUACAUUCUAAUUGUGGGAGACAGACAAAUAAGCAAACAACAAGUACUACUCAUGGUGAGAAGUGCUGUUGAAACUGAUUAAAACCCUGCAGGGACACCCCCAAAUACAAAGGACCCCCCAGGUACCCUGUCUUUUGUUUGUAGAAAAGCUGAAGUUUCCCAGGACUCCCUAAGUCACAGAAGAGUAGGUUCAAGCAGUUGAUGAUUAAGGUAACAGAGUCACGGAAUUUUGCAGUAUCUGAUACACACUCUUGAGCUGUUUUACAGACACUCUAACUGCCAUCAAAGGGGAAAAACUAAUUGCAUGAUGACCAGAUUGCAGCUGUGACAUAAGCUGCUCCACUUUGAGCAGUAUUGAGUCUAUGAUGAGCAUGAUUCCAAGAACUGGCCUCAGGAGAAUAGGAUUAACAUUAUUGCUCAUAAUAAUCUGUAUCUUUGUGGGCAUCAAAAUAAUUGUAAUUUGUAUUGCCCAUACAUGUAAGUGAGUGACUAAAACUGUCAGCAAAGAGAUAUUAGGGACCCACGUUGCCAUCUUCCACUCUGAGACUAUGGUGUCCAACGUCAGCGUGAAGAAAUUACAGAAGACAGAGCUUUGUCCCCAAUCCCAUAGAAAUGGAAUGAUAUCUGACAAGUGGGGUUUUGUAAGCAGCUCCUUUGUCCCUUUGCUGCUUGCAUAUUUCUGUUGCCCUUAAACCAUAAAUAUAGAAAUGAGAUGAGGAGAAAUUUAAC
rnacentral:lncRNA from 1 species